rnacentral:rRNA from 1 species
UACGUAGGGGGCAAGCGUUGUCCGGAUUUAUUGGGCGUAAAGAGCGUGUAGGCGGCCAUGCAGGUCCGUUGUGAAAACUCGAGGCUCAACCUCGAGACGUCGAUGGAAACCGCAUGGCUAGAGUCCGGAAGAGGAGAGUGGAAUUCCCGGUGUAGCAGUGAAAUGCGUAGAUAUCGGGAGGAACACCAGUGGCGAAGGCGGCGACCUGGGCCAAUAUUGACGCUGAGGUGCGAAAGCGUGGGGAGCAAACAGG